GGGAAGGUGGCUCAGUGGUAGAGUGCUUGCCUUGCAUGCAUGAAGCCCUGGGUUCCAUUCCU
rfam:Dipodomys ordii contig_34125, whole genome shotgun sequence.